rnacentral:rRNA from 1 species
GAUGAACGCUAGCGGCAGGCCUAAUACAUGCAAGUCGAACGGGAUUAAGAGGCUUGCUUCUUAUGAGAGUGGCGCACGGGUGCGUAACACGUAUGCAACCUACCUUCAACUGGGGGAUAGCCUUCCGAAAGGGAGAUUAAUACCGCAUAACAUAAUUGAGUGGCAUCACUUGAUUGUCAAACGUCAGGGUUGAAGAUGGGCAUGCGUCCGAUUAGUUUGUUGGUGAGGUAACGGCUCACCAAGACUACGAUCGGUAGGGGAUCUGAGAGGAUGGCCCCCCACACUGGUACUGAGACACGGACCAGACUCCUACGGGAGGCAGCAGUAAGGAAUAUUGGUCAAUGGACGGAAGUCUGAACCAGCCAUGCCGCGUGCAGGAAGACGGUCCUCUGGAUUGUAAACUGCUUUUGUUAGGGAAGAAACUUCCGUACGUGUACGGGACUGACGGUACCUAGAGAAUAAGGAUCGGCUAACUCCGUGCCAGCCGCCGCCGUAAGAC